rnacentral:rRNA from 1 species
UACGAAGGGGGCUAGCGUUGCUCGGAAUUACUGGGCGUAAAGGGCGCGUAGGCGGUUUCGUUAGUCAGGCGUGAAAUUCCUGGGCUUAACCUGGGGACUGCGCUUGAUACAGCGAGACUUGAGGUCAGAAGAGGGUCGUGGAAUUCCCAGUGUAGAGGUGAAAUUCGUAGAUAUCUGGAGGAACACCGGUGGCGAAGGCGGCAUCCUGGACCAAUUCUGACACUGAGGAGCGAAAGCCAGGGGAGCAAACGGG